GGGGCAGUAGCUCAGUGGUAGAGCUCCCGCUUCAUAUGCGGCGAGGUCUGGGUUCGAUUCCCGGCUGCUCAC
rnacentral:tRNA from 1 species